AGGGGAUAAAACCACCGUACCGCGCUGCGCUUGGGAAAGAAAAACAGCGAGGGCGCACCGCACCACGCGAGGGCUUUCUCCUCCAUCCCCGUUCCCUCGUCUCAACCGGCCGCCACUCCAUCUCCAUCCCCUCCCCUCUCUCGCCGCCGCCCCGCUCCCGCUCCCGCUCUCCCUCCCCGCCGCCCGCUUCGCCUACUCCGGAGCCCUGCUGUCGUAAUCCCACCAUCCGGCUUGUGGCGAAGAGGACAGCCGCCGCCUCUUCCCUGCCUCCCCAUCUCGCCCGAAACAUCGCUCCUGGAGCCCUUCCCAGUCCACGGUGGAGCCCCCAUCCCAGCUCCGCAUCCGAGAUCCGCGACAAGGGAGGGGUGGAUCGAUGAUGUUGCAGCAAAGAGGAACGAGGUUGGGCAGUGGUGACGGAGCGGGAUAGGUGACGAGGAUGACCUGUGACUCCUCAUGGCAAAGAGGGAGGCAUGGCGCCUCAGCUCCGCCACCGACGACAGCCUCGACGGCUGCAGCAUGCGCAGUGCCGACAGGGUCAAGGUGCGGCAGUAUGGGAAGACGUGCAAGAAGCUCACUGGCAUGUUCAUGACACAGGAGUUGGCCACGCACUCUGGCUCUGUAUGGUGCAUUAACUUCAGCUUGGCUGGACGGUACCUUGCGAGCGCCGGCGAGGACCGUGUGAUCCAUGUCUGGGAGGUCUCCGAGGGUGAGAGAAAGGGGGAGCUGCUCGGGGAAGGUGCGGUUUCAAAGGAGAGUGGUGGCGGAGGCAGCCCGUUUGUGGCAGUUGCUGGAAAUGGAUCGUGGUGGUGGCAAUGUCGCUGCUCAGCAGUGCAGACAAGGGAUAUGUGGAGAAGAAGAGGAGGCCACGGGUGCAGAGCAGCAGCAAGUCUGUCGGUUCUGAUCAUCUGGUUGUGCCCGAGACCCCGAGUGCGUGUUUGGGUUCAGAGAUAAGCCAUUUUGCUCGCCCCUGGGGCACGCCGCUGAUGUUCUUGAUUUAUCAUGGUCCAAAUCUCAGGCAGGCAUUUCAAUUUUCUGUCAUGCUUCUAGAUAUCAAACGUGGUUGAGAAAGUUCCAUUUUUAAAAGGGGCUGGAGCUCCAUGGCUUACAGAUCUAACGACCCCUGAUGCUCUUUGCAUAUUUCCCAUGAUAACAUCACUGUUCGUCAUGCUUCCCUUUGAGGUAUGUGUUCAAUUCUUUUUACCUAAAUGUAUGUUUGUUCGUGGGCUACAAAAUUUGAGAUGCCAUUUAUUGCAUCCUUCAACUAUUUUUCCUGCUGAACCUGCCGGCUCGACCCAGGAGCGGCAGGUGCAGAUGCGUGUGCGAGGAGCGCCGUCGGUCGACCGGCCGGCGUUCUUUCUUCGUCAGGAAGGGUGCAGCCUGCUACUCAAGCCCCUCUCCUUCGCUCCUUGAAGAGCAGGAGAGGCAUGGGCACCACCACACUGGAGAGAUGGACGAGGACAUGAAGCUUUCGUGGAGAGGACGAGGUGGCCGCCGCUGCACCCCCACGCCGCGGACGCCGAGAUUCCCAUCCUCUCUGCCCUUGAUAACCACUUCGGCGGCGCCAUGAACGACACCAAUCGCCUCUUCUCGGCAGGCGCAGACCGCAUGGUCGUCUUCCUCUCCGGCUUCUUCUACACCAUCAGACUCAGACCCUCUCCCGCUCCCUCUCCCUCUGCAUCUCUGUAAAAAUAUGCUUAGGUCAACUAGGAGAUGAUGCAAGCCAAGGCGCUCACACCGAUUUAAGAUGGUGUGGGUGAUCAAUAGAAGACAAAUGAAUACACUGAUGGAAGGCCAUGUCAAAAUGACAGCUGUUAAACAAGAGGUAGACACAACCAGUGAUACCAGCCCGAUUACCCAUGACGAACCACUGUGUCAGAAGCACAAUAAGCCAUACGAGUAUAUCCAUCGCCCACGCUAAGCAAACUCAAUCCAAAAGUUCAAAGGCAAGAAAAUUCAUGUAAAGCCUAGAAAGUACAUUCUCCGUGGUGAGCCUUGCAUCCACUACUUAGAUGAGUUUAGUCACCACAUUGUGUGGGGCAACACAGUUAAGCUCUACAACCAUAAUGUUCGUACACUGUGAAAGAUCAUCUGCAGCACCACCACGCCUGAUAACUACUAUGUGUGCCACAUGACAGAAACAUUUGCAACAGAAGGCAAAAGAAUGUACUUUAGCGUUCCCUUUUAUACGGGUUCCCUUUUCCCACACAUGGAUGCUGACCAUGGUAAACUGCCAAUCACUAUUGGAGACGGAACUACGCUGUCACGACCCGCUUUAUCAAGGGUGUUGACAAAAGGGCCACCAUCACUAAAGGUUGGAGCGACUUCUUCCGUUAGGCACACAUGAACGAAGGGCGAGUAUAUGCUUUCGCCUUCAAAUGCACUUCCAAGGGACUCUGCCUGAUCGUCUACUCAAUAUAAGCAAGUUGCAAGAGCCCCUUGUUAUAUAACUUAGUAUUAGUACAGAUGCGUAUCAAGACUUCCGUGUUUAUCAUCCUUUUGGAUCUUACGUAAUCCCCUAAGACCAUCCUGUGCAUUUAGCUAUCGGUUAGUUGCCGCUUAGACUGCUAUGUGGUAUGCUUUUGAAACAACCUUGAUGGAAGAAAUAUAUGCUUUCACCUUUAAGUGCACAUCCAAAGGCCUCUGCAUGAUUGUCUAUCCAAUCUAAACAGAUCAAAAGAGUCCUUUCCUACAUGACUUAUUGCAUCAUUUUCAAUCUUAUGUACUUACUGCGUAUAGAAUGAGCUAUUCUUUUCGAAUAACAAUAUGUUAAUGCAUGCUCUUACAAUAAUUAGCUUACACUCGGCCUUUGCGCCAUUAGCGCAACGGAUCAUCUAGUCUUAGUAAAGAUAGAACAAUUGGAGAAGCGAUCACCUUGGUGAACUCUUCGCUUAUAAGACUUACCCACCCAUAGAGUAGAAUCCCUACGCUAUGCAGCUAGAAAGAUUGGUCGACCCCAUUCUUCAUAUGCAGGCCUGGGAAGGAGCAAGGUAUCUCCUUUUCCAGAAAGAUGUGAACAAAUGGGUGCCAACUCAUCUGAUGUUUUACUUUCUAGUCCCAUUAUUUUAAAGGGAUAAGUAUAUUUUUCGUCCUCAAACUCUUCCAAGAGUUUAGAAAUUGUCCCUCAACUCCAAACCGGAUAGUCUUCGUCCCUCAACUAUCAAAACCGGAUAGUUUUCGUCCCUCGUGCCGCUUCGGCUGGUUUUAGUACGUGGUGAACAGUAACUCGGUGAACAGUAAAAUAUAAAAAAUAGCAAAAAAAAAAUCUGAAAUUUUACAGCAUCGAAGAUACUCUGGUGCGCAAGACCCGUGCAAAAUUUCGUGGUGUUCCAACAUUCGAGCAGCUCACGGCAAACAAAAACUGUAAAUAUGUACAUCGGUGAACAGUAAAUUCAAAAAAUAGAAAAAAAUAAAAAAUUUAUGAAACUUUUUGGCAUCAAAGAUGCUCAGGUACGUAAGAUGCGUGCAAAAUUUCGUGAUCAAAUGACAUAUGAGGAGCUCUAGCCAAAAAAAAAUAGCGCACUUUUUCAAAAAAUUAAAUUUGAGCCAAAUUUUGUUUUUUUCCCACGAGUUCGUACAAUGCCCAAACACCACGAAAAUUUGCACGCACGUUGCACACCCAAGCCUCUUUCAUGCCAAAAAAAUUCAUACUGUUUUGAUUUUGUUUGCUAUUUUUUUGAAUUUACUAUUCACCGACGUAUAUAUUUGUAGUUUUUUGUUUGCCGUGAGCUGCUCGAAUGUCGAAACACCAUGAAAUUUUGCACGGGUCUUGCGCACCAGAGUAUCUUCGAUGCUGUAAAAUUUGCAGAUUUUUUAUAAUUUUUUUGCUAUUUUUUCCGAUUUUACUGUUCACCGCGUACUAAAACCGCCCGAAGCGGCACGAGGGACGAAAACUAUUCGGUUUUGAUAGUUGAGGGACGAAAACUAUCCGGUUUGGAGUUGAGGGACGAUUUCUAAACUCUCGGAAGAGUUCGAGGACGAAAAAUAUACUUAUCCCUAUUUUCAAAGAAACUGACGUUGUAAAUGGAAACCCCUGAACCACUUCUUACUUUUGGAUUUGGUGGGAGCCUGCCAAGUGGGAGACCCAGAAAGAAGCCAUCCCGGUGUGUAUCAUCAGUGGGUGUUAAGCUUGUCUGUGUAGAUAUUUAUUGUAUAAAAGGUGUUGCAUGUUUGAAUCACUCCUGACUAUAGCAUUUAAGAACCCUGUCUCUCGAUCUCAUCCUUAUGCAAGGGAGACUAUCUCUAGGACUUUGUUUGUGGUCGACAAGCUAUGUGUCUAUCUUAGACCAGAGCUGUCAGGAUACUACACCGGCUUUCAUAUGUAAGACAAUGUUGUACCAAAGUCAAAAACUGAUGUUAUUUAUCAAGUCUUUCGAACAUAGUUAGUCCCAUCCUUUUCAUCCGGCCACUAGACUAGUUUGGUCUCUUCAAGGAGAGAAGUCCUUUCUCGAGGAGUCCAAGUAUUGGAUAUAUUGGUGGAGUAGAUAGUAGGUAAAAAGUAACCACUACAUGGUAGAUAGCGUCCCUUCCUUACUUUUCUUAAUAAGCCCUUGAUCGAGUAGUUCAUCCGAAAGCAUUUGAUCCAUCAGAUCAAUGCUUGAUCUGCUACGGUUCAAGACCUAGGAACGGAAACAACUGGAUGAUACGCUUCUUUCUCUUAGUCAGCUUUAUCUCAUAUUGCCUACGAAGCCGUGGAUCCAAGCACUGCUAUAUUAAUUCUACUUGGCUGCCGCCCAUAGGGCCUAAGGGAAGACGUACGGAGGAAUGGUCUUUGGGCAUUUGUGACCAACACCCCAUUUAUCACCACACUCUUUUUUGGGCGCUGCUUCUCUGUCUGUAUCUUCAAUACACUAAGAAAAUUGAAAAUAAUAUUGUAGAGAUAAAAAAUAAACUAAGAAAAUUCCUCCUGAUCGUUUUUUUAGUCUAGUAUAAUUAUUAUUUUCGCAAAAAUGUUUGUCCAGCCAAAAAUGCUGACUAAUUUAAGUAAUUUGCAAACUACUGACAAAUACACCCAUACACUUGCUGUCAUAGCCAUGUGGUUAAUGGCUUUUACUGGCCAAAUGGAAUUGUGAAGUGGUUCUUAGCAAGGGAAACUUGGUUUCCAUGAUGUUUUACUGAGUUAGGGAAACCAAUAGAUACACAAAAUCAAUAUGGGGGCCUCACACCUAUGCACCUGCCACUUCUUCUCCCCUGCCUCGUAUGAAUUUGCACAGCAUCAAUCAAUGCUGAAAAUGCAGCUUAUCAGAAUUUCAGGGCUUUCAGUCGUUAUAACAGUACAAGCAGUCGAUCAAUGGUGAUCUGCCUGCUUUAUACAUAUGUGAAAGUAAGCACCAAUAGUCAAGCAUGUUAACACCUAUCCUUUGUCAUAUGCCUGUAACUUAUCUUCAGUACGUCUUUUCUGAAGAAAAGGAAAAACAUUUUCCUGAAAUGGUAUGUACUUGUUUUGAUUUUCUCCGAAUCACAAUUUGGCUUUAAGAAAAGUGGGCCUUUGUUACUGUACCAUAAAGUUAAGAAAAAGGGAGGAAAGAACGCACAAAAUAUUGAAAUCCUGAUGACCUUCUAAAAACAGUAUAGUUCAUCAGUUAUCCGAGCUUGUCAUAUACAGACUUUUUUCUAGUGAGAAAUAUGUUUUCCCUUAGUUUCCCAGUAGCUUGUCUCAGUAGCAGUGUAGUUUUAUCUGCAAUUAUAUGCUUGUGAGCUGUAGUAACCAUCGUGCCCCGCAAAUUUUCACUAUGCAAUGCUAUUUAUCGUUCAUUUUUUGGAGUAACUAUAUUAUUUGUAUGACGCCCUGAAUGAAGUUGGUUACUCCGAUGUGAUCCCCGCAUGCUAGGCUUGUGUGAAGUACCACCUUUCAUCCAUUUUACAGAUAACUCCGUUCUUAUUUGUCUUUUGACUUCAAUCAUGACCACUGGUGGCACUGAUGGUGUCUCAACGCUCCUGAAAGUCAAUAAAGAGAUCAAAUUCAGAUCCACAUUCAGUCAGUCAUUCAUUGGCAGGUAGAAGUCCUGUGAAGCACGUACAUUGUUUUUCACCUUCUACGUACAAGAGCUUGAUGGAGCUAUCCAUGUGCCUAUUAGCUUCUCUAAAUGGUCUCGUGACUAAAAAGACUCUGCCGCGCCAACACCUGAUUAAUUGCAUCGGUUUCUGCUCAAGUGCCUAAUGCAAUCUUCUGUCUUUGAUAAAACACUGCCAGGUUCCACGCGCACUAAAUCUAAUGAACUUUUUAGUUCUAUUUCAGGAUAUGGAACAUAAGGAAACCCCCCUUUAAGGGAGCAGGUGAGGAUUCCCAAGGAAGAGCAGCUUGCUUCAAACAAGAUUGACACAAUUAGUUUGGGUGCAUUUGUGCUUGUGUUCAAGCCAUGGGAGGAACUCGUUGUUCACAACAAGGACUUUGAUGUUUCUGCUCUGAAGAAGUUCAUUGAAGCUGGCAGCAGCCUGAACUCUGGCAACCGUUGCCUCUUGAAAUUCUUGUAGAGCAAUGCUUCACACGGUAGCCACUGAUAUGCAACUUGCUUUCUAUGGAGCUUGAUUAUUGCGUACUUCUAUCUGCCAGUGAUUCUUAGCAAUGAUGGGCCAGAAAACGAUACUACUUUAUAGUGAUCUAAACACUCUUAUAUUUCUUUACGGAGAGGGUAGAACGCAAAACCCAUUUUACUGAUGUGAGCUAUUCUGCCCGCGCCGCCCCCGCGAGGCGACGGGGAGGGCCCUCGAUCUCCGCCGCCCCUAGAGCCAGCCCCCUACUCUCACCCCCUCGCCGCCGCCAAGGGGUGCGGCCGGGCGAAGCUCGACCCGCGCUGGCGGCGGCGGCGGGGCCUCCUCCUCCUCAUGCGCGACGGGGCGGCGCUGGCCGGUUCCUUGGGCCUGGACGCGGUACUCGCGCAUGGUGCCACGGCGUGGAAGCCACGCGGGGGUGCAGCUACGGCGUGAGGGGCUGCGUGGCUGGUGGUGCUCGCCUGCACUGCGGUGGCCGGAUCUGGCCGGCAGGCGGGGCGGGCUGGGCGGCUGCUGUGCUGGAUCUUGGCGGUGGUGGCCACGUCCUGGUGGUGCUCUGCACCUGCGGGGAUGGCGGCAGCAGCUCGUGGCGGUGGUGGUUCCCCUCCUAUGCUUGGUCGGCUCAUGGGCCGAGAUGGGUUGGGAUGGGGGUGGUGCGGGCUGGUGGUGGCGACGGCGAUGCGGUGUGCAGUGGUUUUGUCACAGCAGAUGUCUUGUGAAAGGACUUAAGCGUGAGGCCAUCGCAACAGUGAAUAACUUGUCGGGGUUGAGCAGGAUGAGAGACGCGGAAUUACCCAGGUUCGGCCCCUCAAGGUUGAGGUAAAAGCCUACAUCCUGCUUUAUGCUGUAUUGCUUGAGUAUCGAUUACAAGGGAGCGGAUUCGCUUGACCUAGCUAUCGAUUGAUUGUAAUAUGUCUAUUCUAUGCCGGGGACUCGCCUUUAUAUACAAGUCGAGGCCGCCGGCUUACAAGAGUCCGGGUCGGGUUACGAUA